rnacentral:rRNA from 1 species
UGCAUAUCAAUAAGCGGAGGAAAAGAAACUAACAAGGAUUCCCCUAGUAACGGCGAGUGAAGCGGGAAGAGCUCAAAUUUGAAAUCUGGCAGUCUUCGAUUGUCCGAGUUGUAAUCUAUAGAGGCGUUUUCCGUGCCGGACCGUGUCCAAGUCUCCUGGAAAGGAGUAUCAAAGAGGGUGAUAAUCCCGUACUUAACACGACCACCGGUGCUCUGUGAUACGUCUUCUACGAGUCGAGUUGUUUGGGAAUGCAGCUCAAAAUGGGUGGUGAAUUCCAUCUAAAGCUAAAUAUUGGCGAGAGACCGAUAGCGAACAAGUACCGUGAGGGAAAGAUGAAAAGCACUUUGGAAAGAGAGUUAAACAGUACGUGAAAUUGUUGAAAGGGAAACGAUUGAAGUCAGUCGUGUUCUUUGGAUUCAGCCAGUUCUGCUGGUCUACUUCCUUGGAACGGGUCAACAUCAGUUUUGUCCGGUGGAUAAAGGUAGUAGGAAUGUGACUUCUCCGGAAGUGUUAUAGCCUAUUAUCACAUACACUGGGUGAGACUGAGGACUGCAGCUCGCCUUUAUGGCCGGCCUUCGGGCACGUUCGAGCUUAGGAUGUUGACAUAAUGGCUUUAAACGACCCGUCUUGAACCACGGAC